CUGGAAUAUUACUUCUGAGCGGGUGCGGGAUGUCAAGUAACCAUUCACUGGUGGGGAGUGCAGGGAAGAGCCACGCUAAGAGAAAUAUUAGUUUGUGUUUUGGCCGUCUGAAUGGUGGUUGUUUUUUUUGGGGGGGGGGGAGGGAUACGGGCUAAGAUGGAAAACCAGAGGAACAAGGCUACCAAGGCACUAGCUGGAUAGCUGGCUGUGCCUUGGUGACUGCAGCAAUUUGCAGCGGAAAUGAAAUUAACUGUGUGCAGGUGGGUUCAGAAUGGCAGUUGAUGGUGAAUGGGAGCUGCUUGAGGGACAGACUUCCAAAACUUAAAGCUUGUGGCUGACUGUGUUGAAACCUUCCUCCAAAGAGAUGCUCUUCACUUACUUCUUGUUUUCUCUCUGCCAGAAGCUGACGCCAGUGGCCUUCCUCCGAAGAGCGGCCUUGCAGGAAGUCUGGGCAAGAAGCCUGGGAAGGCACCAAAGAGAGGUACAGAUACUCAACAGGCAUCUGGGCUUGAUGCACUGUCUUUCUGCUUAGCUGUUCUGAUUGUUCUUUCCUGGGACUGUUCCCUGCAGUUGACAUCCCAACUUCCUCCCAUGGCCCGGCUGGAAAAAAAACGCAAGCGAUCUGAGGAGGAGGAGGGAAAAGUAAAAGAAUUGCCCUGCAAGAAACGAGUCAAGGGUGAGCACAGGGAGCUCGUGACGGCGUCUCAGAAAAGUAACGCUGC
ensembl:lncRNA